AGAGUUUGAUCAUGGCUCAGGAUGAACGCUAGCGGGUGGCCUAACACAUGCAAGCCGAGCGGUAGAGAUUCUUCGGAAUCUUGAGAGCGGCGUACGGGUGCGGAACACGUGUGCAACCUACCUUUAUCUGGAGGAUAGCCUUUCGAAAGGAAGAUUAAUACUCCAUAAUAUAUUGAUUGGCAUCAAUUGAUAUUGAAAGCUCCGGCGGAUAGAGAUGGGCACGCGCAAGAUUAGUUAGUUGGUGAGGUAACGGCUCACCAAGACGAUGAUCUUUAGGGGGCCUGAGAGGGUGAUCCCCCACACUGGUACUGAGACACGGACCAGACUCCUACGGGAGGCAGCAGUGAGGAAUAUUGGUCAAUGGGUGUAAGCCUGAACCAGCCAUCCCGCGUGAAGGACGACUGCCCUAUGGGUUGUAAACUUCUUUUGUAUAGGGAUAAACCUACCCUCGUGAGGGUAGCUGAAGGUACUAUACGAAUAAGCACCGGCUAACUCCGUG
rnacentral:rRNA from 1 species